AACGAACGCUGGCGGCAGGCUUAACACAUGCAAGUCGAACGCCCCGCAAGGGGAGUGGCAGACGGGUGAGUAACGCGUGGGAAUCUACCCAGUUCUACGGAAUAACCCAGGGAAACUUGGACUAAUACCGUAUACGCCCUACGGGGGAAAGAUUUAUCGGAAUUGGAUGAGCCCGCGUUGGAUUAGCUAGUUGGUGGGGUAAUGGCCUACCAAGGCGACGAUCCAUAGCUGGUCUGAGAGGAUGAUCAGCCACACUGGGACUGAGACACGGCCCAGACUCCUACGGGAGGCAGCAGUGGGGAAUAUUGGACAAUGGGCGCAAGCCUGAUCCAGCCAUGCCGCGUGAGUGAUGAAGGCCUUAGGGUUGUAAAGCUCUUUCAGUGGGGAAGAUAAUGACGGUACCCACAGAAGAAGCCCCGGCUAACUUCGUGCCAGCAGCCGCAGUAAAAC
rnacentral:rRNA from 1 species